CAACCUAUUCUUAGGUAUGUUGAAUAACAACAAGCCUUCCUAUCUUUCUUUGAAGUUGCAAGAUCUUCAGAAUCCUUUCCAAGCAUCAAGAACUUCAUGGAAGACCUCAGCAAUCAGAUCCCUAUCUGCAUUUUGCAGGAAGAGAUGCAUUUUGGAGCCUAUCAAGUACAUUCUUUGUGUCAAUAUCUUCUAGAAGACUCUCAUGGCAUACAUCUCUCAAAUCAGAUAUGUCAUACUUGUCGGCCGCGUGCAGAAGGGCCAGCCUAUGAGUCAGAAACUCUUCAUGUUUGAUGAUCCCAUAAAGAUAAUUGAGAAAAGCCUGGCAUGAUUCAAGUGACAUGUCUGAGAUGUUUAUGGUUGACAAUUCUUUCUCCUGAAGAUUAUGUGAGAACAUGCUGCGGAAGACGGGUGAUCUGGCAGCAAGAACAGCUCUAUGAGCUCCAAUACUUCCAUCAGAAGCAUUGAUGGUGAUGUCCGUGUGGAUGCCUUCUGUUAGCAUUCUUCCAAGAGACUCUAUGGCUUUUGCAUUUGAUCUUUGCUGAGUAAAUCCUUCUGCCCAAAUGGAACAAGGUUCUCCUCCCUGCAUUGAAAAAUAACAUUCCAAAUAAGGCAACAGCUCAAUACAAGUGGAUUAUGACCAUGAGACCAUUAACCCUUGUAGCGUGCAAUCAUCCAAUCACAAAUCUUUUGCAUAUAGAUAGAUAGAUAUAUAGAUAGAUAUGGAGAGAGAAAUACCAAUUCCAGUUUCCGAUCUUGAAAGGAUCGGAUUUUCGGUAAGUGCAAGAAGCCAAGUUUUCGAUUCUCCAUUGAGCAAGGCGCGGCGUGGUUUCGACUCUGUAUGCAGAAUCGCUCAUCCUAUCAGCAAAAGCAAGAGCUGUUGUGAUUUCAUGGAUGCAGUCCAAAAUUCCCUCCAACAAAAACUCUCCCGGCUUUCCCAGGACAAGCCACACCUCCCCUGUUUUUUCUUCUUUUAUUUAUCUCAAAAUAGCUGAGAAAUUCAGACAGCGUUCAACAACAUUAGCUCUGGCUUUGAUUAGAUUGCAAUUUCUAUCAGAGGUUUCGGACACGCAAGGAUUUUGGUGUUGCUUUUACCCAUUUUUCGGAGAUUAAAAGAAGAAAAAAAAAUGCAUAUUUUAGAGAAAGUGAGAGAGAAAGAGAAAGAGUGACUUGUACUUUUAUUGGUAUGGGAUGGUGAUGGCCGACGAUAAAUGAGUAUUGGUUGGUUUGUUUUAGACAGGUCUAAGUCUUAACAUUAUAUGAUUGAGGAUGCAGAAGGUGUACGUGUUGGAUUUUGUGUUGAUUUAAGAUGACCUUAUUGUUGGGUCAUGUGUGAGCGUGCUUUAAAGGGAAAAGAAUUUUUAAAUUUUUGGUGCUUUGAAGCAAAGUAUCUGUUCCUUGCAAA